CCACGGAUUAAGUGAACUUUUAUCAUAUGAAGGCAAUGUUGAAGAAGAUUUCUAUUCAACAUUUCAGGUUUUUCAGGAAGAAUUUGGAAUAAUUAAGUCUUAUAACUUAAAGCCAGGAGGUGAUAAAAUUCCAGUUACCAAUCAAAAUAGAAAAGAAUAUGUGCAGCUUUAUAUUGACUUCCUUCUCAACAAAUCUAUCUAUAAGCAGUUUGCUGCAUUUUAUUAUGGAUUUCAUAGUGUAUGUGCUUCAAAUGCCCUA